AGCCGAAUAAUUGCGCUUAGUAAUUAUUUAUUAAGUGAGGAAAGUCCGUGCAUCCGCAGAACAGACCGCCGGAGAAACUCCGGGCGUCGUGAGGCGGCGGAAAGUGCCACAGAAAUGUUGACUGCCGAUGGAUUAUUUUUAAUCACAGGCGAUGGUGCAACGGUGAGGUAAGAGCAUCACCAAAAAGAUCGGAAGGUCUUUGUUAGGUAAACCCCGGUCGGAUGCAAGAUUGAGUUCAAGGGUUAUAAUGGUUGUUCGCCGACUUUGAGAAAGAAUCGCUAGAGCUUGAGAGCAAUCUCAAGACCAGACAGAUAAUUAUUUUAAAACAGAACACGGCUUAUGAACUGCUUU
rnacentral:RNase_P_RNA from 1 species